AACGAACGCUGGCGGCAGGCCUAACACAUGCAAGUCGAACGAACCUUCGGGUUAGUGGCGCACGGGUGCGUAACACGUGGGAAUAUACAUUUCGGUAAGGAAUAACACAGAGAAAUUUGUGCUAAUACCUUAUAAUGACUCCGGUCCAAAGAUUUAUCGCCGAAGGAUUAGCCCGCGCUAGAUUAGUUUGUUGGUGAGGUAAGAGCUCACCAAGACUACGAUCUAUAGCUGGUCUUAGAGGAUGAUCAGCCACACUGGAACUGAGACACGGUCCAGACUCCUACGGGAGGCAGCAGUGUGGAAUAUUGGACAAUGGGGGCAACCCUGAUCCAGCCAUGCCGCGUGAAUGAAGAAGGCCUUAGGGUUGUAAAAUUCUUUCAGAUGCGAAGAUAAUGACGGUACCAUCAGAAGAAGCUCCGGCUAAAUUCGUG
rnacentral:rRNA from 1 species